UCGGAAUUGCUAGUAAUCGCGGAUCAGCAUGCCGCGGUGAAUACGUUCCCGGGCCUUGUACACACCGCCCGUCACACCAUGGGAGCCGGUAAUACCCGAAGUCAGUAGUCCAACCUCGUGAGGACGCUGCCGAAGGUAGGAUUGGCGACUGGGGUGAAGUCGUAACAAGGUACC
rnacentral:rRNA from 1 species